CUACGGGAGGCACCAGCAGGGAAUAUUGCACAAUGGACGGAAGUCUGAUGCAGCGACGCCGCGUGGAUGAUGAAGGCCCUCGGGUUGUAAAAUCCUUUUCAGGGGGACGAGGAAGGACGGUACCCUUGGAAUAAGCGUCGGCUAACUACGUGCCAGCAGCCGCGGUAAGACGUAGGACGCAAGCGUUAUCCGGAUUUACUGGGCGUAAAGCGUCUGUAGGCGGAAUGGUAAGUUGGACGUGAAAGCUCCGGGCUCAACCCGGAGAGGUCGUUCAAUACUGCCAAACUAGAGGGCAUCAGAGGAGCGUGGAAUUUCCGGUGUAGCGGUAAAAUGCGCAGAUAUCGGAAGGAACACCAAUGGCGAAGGCAGCGCUCUGGGAUGAACCUGACGCUAAGAGACGAAAGCUAGGGGAGCGAACAGGAUUAGAUACCCUCGUAGUC
rnacentral:rRNA from 1 species